rnacentral:misc_RNA from 1 species
GCAAACUUGGUCAUUUAGAGGAAGUAAAAGUCGUAACAAGGUUUCCGUAGGUGAACCUGCGGAAGGAUCAUUGCCGAUUCAUUCGUGGGGGGGAGAUCUCUUUUUCCCCCCCGACCGACACCUCUGUGCACUCUGGAGGGGACUCGAGAGAGAGCCCUCCUGUUUACGAACGCCUGUAGUCUCGCGCGUAUCAGAAACGAAAUAAAUUAAAAACACAACUUUCAACAACGGAUCUCUUGGCUUUCGCAUCGAUGAAGAACGCAGC